rnacentral:lncRNA from 1 species
CAAACGAGGAUGGCUGCUUUGCCACUGAUGUGAAUAUUAAGAUUUACCACCAGAAGCGUGAUGACAGUUAUGAUUUCAACCUAGAAGUUGUGGCUUUUCUGAAAGAAAGUGGAACAGGGGUGGAGUUCAACACCACUGAAAACUGCAAGAUCACUUUUGAUGUCACAACUCUGCAAUUCCUGGGGACAAGUUACUACUAUCAGCAGGGAGCUCCCUACUAUGGAAAUAUACAACUCAAAAGUGCCAAUGGGACACACCUGAACAACAAGGAGGUGAUUCUUACAGUGUCCUAUGGUAGCAGGAAGCAGACCAAGACCUACUUCACAGAUGACACUGGGAUGGCCUCUUUCAUCUUAGAGACAUCAGCAUGGGACAAC